GUGCUGGCUUCAGCAGCACAUAUACUAAAAUUGGAACCAUACACAGAAGAUUAGUAUGGUCCCUGAACAAGUAUGACAUGCUUCGUGAAGCCGUCCAUAUUUUU
ensembl:snRNA U6 U6 spliceosomal RNA